CAGGACUGCUCAGACGGAGGACUACUGUCAGCUGCUUCCUCAAAGGAUUCCCUUUCGUUCACUUUAUCCUCGCUGGCUCUGAAAAGACAAUUUGCACGUACGAUUUUAUUUUCAGGUUGAAUGAUUAUUUACUGCAGGUAACACCUGAGUGAGGAGGACUUCUCCAGUCUACACGGAUGCUUCUGCCCCGCAGCGACGGCAGACCAGGAAACCACGUGGAGAGAAGGGAAAAGGGG